rnacentral:misc_RNA from 1 species
AAGUUAUAAAUUUUAAUAGCACGCGGUCAGAAAAUAGGGGGGUAGGUUCGGAAUCAGGCGCGUUAGGCACCUGAUUUUCAGCCUUUAUUUUCUUAGCUGGCCCACGCCGCAACAACGUACCUUAGAAAGUAAUAUGGAAGGACACUGGCCUGACUAAUUCCCGGCGAUGAUGGUCUUCAGUUCCGUCUUCGUCCGAUGAACGGCGGAGAUCUCCACCGGUGUUAAUGCCGGUAAUCAGUCAGCCCGUUAUUAAUCGAGGGCAGUGACUCGAUUUGUAGCAAAGUAUGAUUAAAGAUAUAGAUCUAAGAAUAAAUCCUGGAACGAAGAAAGUUCCGAGUCAGGAAAAGAACAAUUCAGAAACCAGUGUCACAAUUAGCAAAAUAAUAAAUAAUUACA